GAUAAAAAAAUAAGAGAUUGUAUCAAGAAUUAUGUACAAAAGAAUAUGAGAACGUCCUCUGGCAUCGAGGGAAUUGCACGUAUAGAGAUUCAAAAAAGAAUCGAUCUGAUCCAGGUCAUAAUCUUUAUGGGAUUCCCAAAAUUAUUAAUAGAAAGUCGACCGCGCGGAAUCGAAGAAUUACAAAUGACCUUACAAAAAGAAUUUAAUUGUGUAAACCGAAAACUAAAUAUUGCUGUCACAAGAAUUGGAAAACCUUAUGGAAACCCUAAUAUUCUUGCAGAAUUUAUAGCUGGANUCGCGCGGAAUCAAAGAAUUACAAAUGACCUUACAAAAAGAAUUUAAUUGUGUAAACCGAAAACUAAAUAUUGUUGUCACAAGAAUUGGAAAACCUUAUGGAAACCCUAAUAUUCUUGCAGAAUUUAUAGCUGGACAAUUAAAGAAUAGAGUUUCAUUUCGAAAAGCAAUGAAAAAGGCUAUUGAAUUAACAGAACAAGCGGAUACAAAAGGAAUUCAAAUACAAAUUGCGGGGCGUAUCGACGGAAAAGAAAUUGCACGUGUCGAAUGGAUCAGAGAAGGC
rnacentral:lncRNA from 1 species